UACAGAGGUGGCAAGCGUUGUUCGGAAUUACUGGGCGUAAAGGGCGCGUAGGCGGCCUUCUUAGUCAGACGUGAAAUCCCCGGGCUUAACUCGGGAACUGCGUCUGAUACUGGAAGGCUCGAGUUCGGGAGAGGAAUGUGGAAUUCCAGGUGUAGCGGUGAAAUGCGUAGAUAUCUGGAGGAACACCGGUGGCGAAGGCGGCAUUCUGGACCGAAACUGACGCUGAGGCGCGAAAGCCAGGGGAGCAAACGGG
rnacentral:rRNA from 1 species